AUUGAACGCUGGCGGCAGGCCUAACACAUGCAAGUCGAACGAGUCGGGGACGGGUGAGUAAUGUCUGGGAAACUGCCUGAUGGGGGGGGAUAACUACUGGAAACGGUAGCUAAUACCGCAUACCAUCAGAUGUGCCCAGAUGGGAUUAGCUUGUUGGUGGGGUAACGGCUCACCAAGGCGACGAUCCCUAGCUGGUCUGAGAGGAUGACCAGCCACACUGGGACUGAGACACGGUCCAGACUCCUACGGGAGGCAGCAGUGGGGAAGAUUGCACAAUGGGCGCAAGCCUGAUGCAGCCAUGCCGCGUGUAUGAAGAAGGCCUUCGGGUUGUAAAGUACUUUCAGUCGGGAGGCGUUACCCGCAGAAGAAGCACCGGCUAACUCCGUGCCAGCAGCCGCGGUAAUAC
rnacentral:rRNA from 1 species